rnacentral:rRNA from 1 species
GGUGCCAGCAGCCGCGGUAAUUCCAGCUCCAAUAGCGUAUAUUAAAGUUGUUGCAGUUAAAAAGCUCGUAGUUGAAUUUCGGGGUUAGUAGGCUGGUCGUGCCACUGGUACGUACUGGUCUCACUGACUCUCCUUCCUGAUGAAUUGUAAUGCCAUUAAUUUGGUGUUGCGGGGAAACUGGACUGUUACUUUGAAAAAAUUAGAGUGUUUAAAGCAAGCUAACGCUUGAAUACAUUAGCAUGGAAUAAUGAAAUAGGACGUUCGAUCCUAUUUUAGUUGGUUUCUAGGGAUUGACGUAAUGAUUAAUAGGGAUAGUUGGGGGGCAUUAGUAUUCAAUUGUCAGAGGUGAAAUUCUUGGAUUUAUUGAAGACUAACUACUGCGAAAGCAUUUGCCAAGGAUGUUUUCAUUAAUCAAGAACGAAAGUUAGGGGAUCGAAGACGAUCAGAUACCGUCGUAGUCUUAACCAUAAACUAUGCCGACUAGGGAUCGGAUGAUGUUAAUUUUUUAAUGACUCAUUCGGCGCCUUACG